rnacentral:lncRNA from 1 species
CGUUAGUGCACACUGGCCCAAAUUCCAAUUGCUAGUUCUUGCAUUACCUCGCCUGAGGGCUUUCUCUUGCCACUGGAGCCAGCUCUGCUGCCGGAGUCGGCUUUGCCACCCAUGUGGCAGCCCAGAAAUGCUGGGCAACGAACCCCUCUGGGAGCAGCCCUGGAUCAGUGACUGAUGGGUGCUGGUGUAUCUCUCAGUCAGUGAUCAGUCGAGAGGCAGAAGCCAUAUUAAUAUUAGUUCUUUGAACAGACAGGAUUUAACAUAGAAAAUGUUAACUAGGCAUAAAGUUGUUAAGUAGGUAACAAAUAAUGAAAAGAGAACUCUAAGAUAUCAUAAAGAGAGCGAUCGCGGGAAGCCACUCCCACCCCCAGGGCUGGGGCACAAAGGAAAGAGAAUGUAAUUAUUACAACCAGAAGCUUGGAGGAAGGGCUCCAUGGGGCUGGGGCCCAGACCUCUGGGGAGGGGGUGCUGCUCACCUCAUGCUGGUGUUUCUGAUGGGAGUGUGAUGAGGCCGGUUCUGUGAAGGUUGGAAAACUGCAAACCGGAUUCAGCUGUAGACACGGACAGGUGCUGCUGGUGCGAGGGUGAAGAAAUACUCCUGGGGGGAUGCUGACAGAAGCAGGAAGCUGACAAGAGGGAACAAGGAAGAACAGAAAGGAGUUGAAGUUCCUUCCCCCUCCUCCAGCCUUGGAGUCUCCCUCUAUCGCCCCCUAGGCGGAGUCUAACAGGGAGCCGCUGGCGAAGCCGAACCGUGCGUGGUGGAAUCUCAUUCCCGGAGUGAAAGAUUAGCCCUGAGCCAACUACUGCCAGUCCUCCUCUUUUUUGCUGAGGAAGACUGGCCCUGAGCUAGCAUCCGUGCCCGUCUUCCUCUACUUUAUAUGUGGGACGCCUACCACAGCAUGGUGUGCCAAGCGGUGCCAUGUCCGCACCCGGGAUCCGAACCAGCGAACCCUGGGCCACUGAGAAGCAGAAUUGACCAGCAUUUAUUUUCAAGUUGUACACCAAUCCUGCAGUUCUGAAAUAAACAUAUUCUUUUUCAUAAAAAUAAAAGGCAAUCUCUGCCAGUUCUCCCCAGACUGCGUCACGAUGACUCACAGUGGCGGCCCUCCAGAGCCUGGAAUAUUUCUGAUGCUAUGUGCUGGAAUUUUGUGGAAAGUUCAUUCUCUAAGAGACUUUCAUAUUGUUCCAAAUUUUUGGCUCCUGUGAACAAAGUUGCUAUGCACAUUUGUGCCCAAGUCUUUGUAUGUUUUCAUUUCUUUUGGGUAAAUACCUAAGAGUGGAAUUGCUGGAUUGUAUGGCUUUACAUUGAGGCCUAUGGUCCACUUUGAGCUAAUCUUUCUGUAUGUAUAAGGCAAGGUGAAACUGCGUUUUUCCCAUAUGGAUAUCCAGUGGUUUACAAAGUCUUAACAUCAGGAAUAUUAGCCCCAAGCUAACAACUGCCGCCAAUCUUCCUCUUUUUGCUGAGGAAGACUGGCUCUGAGCUAACGUCUGUGCCCAUCUUCCUCCACUUUAUAUGUGGGACACCUACCACAGCAUGGCUUGCCACGCGGUGCCAUGUCCUCACUUGGGAUCUGAACCAACGAACCCCGGGCCGCUGAAGUGGAACGUGAGAACUUAAUCACGGUGCCAUGGGGCUGGCCCCCUAUUGACAUUUUCAAAGAACCAGCUUUGGGUUUCACUGAUUUUCUUUAUUGUUUGUCCAUUUUCUAUUUUAUUGAUUUCCGUUCCUGUCUUUACUUUUCCCUUCCUUCUAAUUACUUUGGGUCUAAUAUGUUCUUCUUUUUCUAGCUUCUUAAGGUGGAAGCUUAGAUCAUUAGUUUUAUAUAUUUCUUCUUUUCUAAUGUAAGUAUUUAAAGAUUUUAUUUUCUCUUUUUCUCCCCAAAUCCUCCCAGUACAUAGUUGUAUAUUUUAGUCGAGGGUCCUUCUAGUUGUGGCAUGUGGGAUGCUACCUCAGCGUGGCCUGAUGAGCAGUGCCAUGUCUGCACCCAGGAUUCACACUAGUGAAACCCUGGGCUGCCGAAGCAGAGCAUGCAAACUUAACCACUCAGCCACAGGGCCGGCCCCUCUAAUGUAAGUAUUUAAAGUUAUAACAUUUUCUCAUCAUUUCUUCUUUGGCAUGUGUUAUUUAGAAAUGUUUUGUCUAAUUUCCAAAUUUGGGCAUUUUCCAGAUACCUUUCUCUUAUUGGUUUGUAAUUUAAUUCUGUUGUGGUUAAGGAGCAUGUUCUGUAUGAUUAUAAUCCUCUUAAAUUUAUUGGCCAGCAUAUGGUCUAUUUUGGUGAAUGUUUCAUGUGCACUUGAAAAGAAUGUGUAUUCUGUAGUUGUGUAGAGUAUUUUAAAAAUGUCAAUUAAGUUGAAUGAUUACAUUAUGUUCUUUACUCCUAUUGAUUUUUCUGUCUGCUUUUUU